rnacentral:rRNA from 1 species
GACGAACGCUGGCGGCGUGCUUAACGCAUGCAAGUCGAACGGAAAGGCCCUGCUUUUGUGGGGUGCUCGAGUGGCGAACGGGUGAGUAACACGUGAGUAACCUGCCCUUGACUUAGGGAUAACUUCAGGAAACUGGGGCUAAUACCGGAUAGGAGCUCCUGCUGCAUGGUGGGGGUUGGAAAGUUUCGGCGGUUGGGGAUGGACUCGCGGCUUAUCAGCUUGUUGGUGGGGUAGUGGCUUACCAAGGCUUUGACGGGUAGCCGGCCUGAGAGGGUGACCGGCCACAUUGGGACUGAGAUACGGCCCAGACUCCUACGGGAGGCAGCAGUGGGGAAUAUUGCACAAUGGGCGGAAGCCUGAUGCAGCAACGCCGCGUGCGGGAUGACGGCCUUCGGGUUGUAAACCGCUUUCGCCUGUGACGAAGCGUGAGUGACGGUAAUGGGUAAAGAAGCACCGGCUAACUACGUG